CUUGAUCGAGCCCAACCACAGCGGGGGCGCGUCCUGCCGGUCCCUGCCGUAGGUCGCCAGCAGGGCCUGCGCCUC
rnacentral:antisense_RNA from 1 species